rnacentral:rRNA from 1 species
AUUGAACGCUGGCGGCAGGCCUAACACAUGCAAGUCGAGCGAGCGGCGGACGGGUGAGUAAUGCCUGGGAAUUGCCCAGUCGAGGGGGAUAACAGGUGGAAACGACUGCUAAUACCGCAUACGAUUGGAUUGCCCAGGUGGGAUUAGCUAGUUGGGGAGGUAAUGGCUCACCAGUGCGACGAUCCAUAGCUGGUCUGAGAGGAUGAUCAGCCACAUUGUAACUUAUACACGGUCCAUAGUCAGACGGGAGUGAGCAGUGGGGAAUAGUGCACAAGGGGGGAAACCGUGAUGCAGCCAUGCCGAGUGUGUGAAGAAGGCCUUAGGGUUGUAAAGCACUUUCAGCGAGGAGGCGUUACUCGCAGAAGAAGCACCGGCUAACUCCGUGCCAGCUGCCGCGGUAAUAC